GCCGAAAUAAUAGCUCAGUUGGGGAGAGCUUAGGACUGAAGAUCUUGAAGGUCCCUGGUUCGAUCCCGGGUUUCCGCA